GGGGGCGACCGGCUUCGAUUGUGUCGGUGACUCUGUGGUUGCGUGCCCAGGUGCCUGACCCUGGUAAAACAUCUGGCAAACCUAUCAACUGCCAACUCAAACCUGGCCCUUGCUGCGUAACUCGGCUUGACCCCGAGGUACGACCAGCAAUGCUCGCUGAGGAGCCCGCCCGGGGCGGCUCAUCGAGUAUCGCAAUACCGGGAUAGCGGGGCGUCACGCCGUCGGGCGUCCCGCGAAACUCAAGGCGGCUCAUCUGCGCGUGGGAGGCCUGCCGGCCAGCGCGCGGAGACAUCAAUCGGCAGGCUACGCACGUAGGGACCGCGGCUGAUCCAAUGCAAGACGGGAGUUCAACUCUCCCCGCCUCCACGU
rnacentral:tmRNA from 1 species